UUUAUAACUCGAGAUAUGAGUUGAACACUGAAUAGUGUCUAGGCUGCAGGACAGAUUCUGACUUCUCCGUUGUUGCUACCAUUUGAACUCGAAAAUGGCAUUUUUAAAUCUUGGACUCUUCAUGAAAGUUAUAGGUCUAUGUCUUAACUUUUCAUA
rnacentral:pre_miRNA from 1 species